UGCAAGUCGAGGGGUAACAUAGAAAAGCUUGCUUUUCUGAUGACGACCGGCGCACGGGUGCGUAACGCGUAUACAACCUACCUUUUAGCGGGGAAUAGCCCAGGGAAACUUGGAUUAAUGCCCCAUAGUAUAUAGACUUCUCCUGAAGUUUAUAUUAAACAUUUAUGGCUAUUAGAUGGGUAUGCGUCCUAUUAGUUAGUUGGUAAGGUAACGGCUUACCAAGGCAGCGAUAGGUAGGGGUCCUGAGAGGGAGAUCCCCCACACUGGUACUGAGACACGGACCAGACUCCUACGGGAGGCAGCAGUGAGGAAUAUUGGACAAUGGGCGAGAGCCUGAUCCAGCCAUGCCGCGUGCAGGAAGACUGCCCUAUGGGUUGUAAACUGCUUUUACAGAGGAAGAACCACCCUCACGUGUGGGGGUUUGACGGUACUCUGCGAAUAAGGAUCGGCUAACUCCGUGCCAGCAGCCGCGGUAAUACGGAGGAUCCAAGCGUUAUCCGGAAUCAUUGGGUUUAAAGGGUCCGUAGGCGGGCAGUUAAGUCAGUGGUGAAAGUCUUCCGCUCAACGGGAGAACUGCCAUUGAUACUGAUUGUCUUGAGUUAUUAUGAAGUGGUUAGAAUGAGUAGUGUAGCGGUGAAAUGCAUAGAUAUUACUCAGAAUACCGAUUGCGAAGGCAGAUCACUAAUAAUAUACUGACGCUGAU
rnacentral:rRNA from 1 species